rnacentral:rRNA from 1 species
CAGGAUAAACGUUGGCGGCGUGCCUAACGCAUGCAAGUCGCACGAGGGCUUCGGCCCUAGUGGCGGACGGGUGAGUAACACGUAGGAACCUGCCCGGAAGUGGGGGACAACUUCCCGAAAGGGAAGCUAAUACCGCAUACGGUCUACGGACCAAAGCUUCGGCGCUUCCGGAGGGGCCUGCGGUGGAUUAGCUAGUUGGUGGGGUAACGCCUACCAAGGCGACGAUCCAUAGCUGGUCUGAGAGGAUGAUCAGCCACACUGGGACUGAGACACGGCCCAGACUCCUACGGGAGGCAGCAGCGAGGAAUUUUGCACAAUACGACGAAAGUCGGAUGCAGCAACGCCGCGUGGCGGG